CAAAACACCCCAUAUGGCACGGAGCGUUAAUGCAUACCACAUAGUCUAAAUUCUAAAGAGGUAAAGGGUUUGAUACCAUUUUACUAGAGCUUUCGGAAAUCUAAUUGAACGAUUCCGUGCUAAAAACACGAAUCCCCAAACCUUCAAAACUGAACCCUUUUGGCUGGUCUAACAAACCAACGAACCUGGUUGGUUCGGUUUUUUUGAACCCAGACUGGCCACCAGUACCUCACUCUUUUUUUUUUACACCAAAUAUGAAUUGAAGAACUCGUCCUCCUACCGCUUGAGCGCAAGGUACAUGAUGCAUAUUUCUUUUUGGAAGAUAAAUACAGGAAGCGAAAGAGAGGGUAGAAACUAGAAACAAUGACUUAAAUUGGUUAAUGCUCAAAGUAAAUGCUCUCUUAGUCUCUAUUUCAUAUUACUGAAAUGAAAAUAAGAUUUCGUUCAUGUCUGGUCGAUCAUCUGGAUCUGGUUGAGUGCAGCGUAAAGCCAACUGAAGAAUCUGUGCUACAACAUCGUGUAUUGUGGAGAAAUCGGAAGCCAAAUCUGGAUCUACAAUUUCAAUCAGCCCAUUGAUUCCGUUUGAAAGUGAUUGUUCUAUCAAUUGUGGCAAAGUUAUGUCAUCUUCGGUGAGUCCUGUUGGUCUUUUUCUAGUGAUAAAUUCCAUCAUUACUAUCCCAAAGCUAAAUGUGUCUACUUUUGUUGUCACUUUUCUCAUAUAUGCAAACUCUGGUACAAAACAGAAAUGCAUUAGUGUUAUCUUUAAGGUCAAAUGCUAUUUAAACAUCAAAAUUGAUAUGUAUCAUGUUAGAUUUUCAAUUCUGAAAGAAUAAAAGAAAGAGUUGGUGAUGCAUUACCUGGUGCCAAAUAACCAAUGGUACCUUGAAAUGCUGAUGCAGAAGAAA